AUGGGGGUGCUUUCUCUGAGCAGUCACCCAGGAGUCACUGUACAGGUGCCACCCCAGAGCAGAGCUGUCCCCCCACGGCUGUGCUCCGAGCCUGCACUCCUCCUCCUCCUCCUCCCUUUCUGUCUUUGCCCUGUUCUGGCUCCAGCACAGCAGCUGCUCUGCUGCCCUGCCUCUUCCUCCCCCAGUCCCUGUGAGGACACAAUUAAAGGGCUCUGGUUUCACCCUUGCUCUUUGCUGCCUUUGUCUGGCUGUGGGACGGGUGCCACCAGGGUGUUGGGGACAUGGGCUCCUGCCAGCCCUCUCUGCCUGCGGCCAGCCGCCACUGCAGGGGACGGGCUCCACGUCCUGCUCCACCACAGCCCUCCCAGGGCCACCUCCUUCCCUCCCUCCUCCACGCUGGGGUCCUUCUGGGCAGCACAGAGGGCUUGGUGCUCAGGCCGGGGCGCUGAGGGGAGCCCUGGGCAGCGAGUGGCACCGUCACUGCGGGCAGCAGCAGCAGCAGGGUCCUUUGUCCUUGCUCAGGACCCUCUCUGCCCUGCCAGGACUGCUGUGGGUCCGGCUGGCCCCGCAGAGCCCCGUGCUGGGGCAAAGCAGCUGAUGGCUCUCGGGGCUCUGGCGAGGCUGUUUCUCACACAGUGGUGGCUCCUGCUCCUGGCGCUGCAGCCCUUCCAGCUCACUGCCCCACGGUGCUGGCAGUAUCUGCCCGCCGAGGCCCGUGCCCCUGCAGCCCCAGGGCUGUGUCUGUUGGCAGCUCACCAGCCAACGCCUCCAGUGGCUUUUUUGAUGUCCCAGAACAGGCUGUGCAGGAAGUUCAGUGCACGGGUCCAGCUGGGAGCGAGGCAUUGCUGGUCCCUCGGGGGAAUCCUGCCGGGACACGCCAUCUCUGCGGAGCUCACCGCUUCCCCCAGCCCUGUGCUGGCACUGCCGGUGCUUCCCAGUUGUGUGAGGGCUCAAAACCAGCACUGGCUGCAAUCCCAGGCCUCGCCCUCAGCCACCACGGAGGCAGGUCCUGCUGGCAAAGUGUGCAGGGUCAGCCCACAGCAGAGUGGGAUGGGGAGAUGGGGACAAGGACCCGAUGCUCCCUGCAUGGGCAGUGGGUGCCACAUGCAGCACAACACCGUGGUCCUGGGAAGGGGCCUGUCACAGCCUCUCUCCUGCUGGGGGCUGCCUUCUUCCCAGCUCCAGGCCCUACAUUUUCUUACUCCUGGUCACCUCUGCCUCCUGUUUCUCAUGGUGCCAGGAUGGCCCCACUGCUCUGUGCUCCCCCACCACAGGGCCUCCUGCACCACACUGCCACGGCACGGGCCUCAGGCACGGCCCCGGGACAGCCCAGGGCUGCCAGCAGGUCACAGGGACACCGCCACUGUCCCUGCAGGGCCCCGCGUGCCCUGGCCCAGUGCUCAGCCAAGCACAGAGGAGGGGACUCCACAGAGCUAUGGCCAGCACAGCCCUCUGCCCCCGCUGGAGGCACGGGCAGAUCUUCCUCUGACUGCAGAGAGAGCCAGACGAGGCUGCUCUCCACGGGGCCAGCCGGGAUGGUUCUGGCCUAGCAAGGCACUGAGCCCUGCCGCACACACGUGUCUGAAGGACUUUAUAUAA
rnacentral:lncRNA from 1 species